UGUGAGGCAUGCUGGAGGUAUCAGAAGUGCGAAUGCUGACAUAAGUAACGAUAAAGCGGGUGAAAAGCCCGCUCGCCGGAAGACCAAGGGUUCCUGUCCAACGUUAAUCGGGGCAGGGUGAGUCGACCCCUAAGGCGAGGCCGAAAGGCGUAGUCGAUGGGAAACAGGUUAAUAUUCCUGUACUUGGUGUUACUGCGAAGGGGGGACGGAGAAGGCUAUGUUGGCCGGGCGACGGUUGUCCCGGUUUAAGCGUGUAGGCUGGUUUUCCAGGCAAAUCCGGAAAAUCAAGGCUGAGGCGUGAUGACGAGGCACUACGGUGCUGAAGCAACAAAUGCCCUGCUUCCAGGAAAAGCCUCUAAGCAUCAGGUAACAUCAAAUCGUACCCCAAACCGACACAGGUGGUCAGGUAGAGAAUACCAAGGCGCUUGAGAGAACUCGGGUGAAGGAACUAGGCAAAAUGGUGCCGUAACUUCGGGAGAAGGCACGCUGAUAUGUAGGUGAAGUCCCUCGCGGAUGGAGCUGAAAUCAGUCGAAGAUACCAGCUGGCUGCAACUGUUUAUUAAAAACACAGCACUGUGCAAACACGAAAGUGGACGUAUACGGUGUGACGCCUGCCCGGUGC
rnacentral:rRNA from 1 species